ACUUGACAAAACAACUCACAAAUGCAGCAAGUGCAAAAAGAUAUUUACAACGAGCAGAGAGCUCAACAGACACAAGUGUGGCUCGGAGAGUAAACGGACGAGCAGCUGCUCGGCUGAUAAAGUUGAAGUCACAGUGGAGUGCAAAUAUUGCAGCAAAUCAUUUGGUAGUGCGAGCAGUGUGUACGGACAUCAGGCCACGUGCAAGAAACGUAACAGGGCGGUGGCGAUACCGCCGGCGGUGAGGAAGCGCCUCAAACCGCUGCAGGUGCGCACGACGCGCUGCGAUCCGCUGCUCGUGCGGCGCGAGAACGGCC